CAGAGGCAAUGGAGUCUCUAACGACCAGCAACACUUUCCUCGAAUUAGUCCCAUUUCCGAUUUCCUUCCUGUCAAUUAAACCGAUUGCCAGAGAGAUCAGAGAAGAGCAAACCCUUCGUGAGUUCUUCCCAAUUCCUUCCCAUUAUUUACAUGUUUUUUCCCCCAAUUCCUUCCCCCAAAUCACCAUUCAUUCACCCAUUAUUUACAUGUUUUUUUCCUGGCAUAUUUAUUGUUUAAUUAUUGUUUUUUUUUGAGUAGUUUAUUAUGCUCUAUGUUUGAUUUUUAGGAUUUUGAAUUGCUUCGGCUUCGAUUCGAGGCUUAUUGUUUGGGGAUUUUGUUACAAAUUAUUGAAAGUUUUGUAAUGCCAAAGUGAUCCGGUGCUUAUUAUCAACUCAAAUGACUUUUGAAGCCUUAAAGUGAGUUUCAAUUGAAGAUGAAAGUAGAUCAAAGUUUAAUUAUCUAUUUUAUUUCUACGUUCUUUAUUACUUUUGGAGCAGAAGUUUUGAAAAAUCUGGUUAACUUAGCCUAAUCGAGUGUUGUUUCUGGCAUAAGAGCAUAUCUUAUUACAUGCCACUAGGUCAAACAUUUGAAAAGUACUUGUGAGCCAGUGAAAAGGAGAACAUGUUAAGAUGGAAAAUCUUUUUGCAUGAUAGUAUGAACUUAAACUUCUUGAAUUUGGCAGUGGAAUGAAUACAUGUUAUUUAUUAUAAGAGUAUAUCUAUUUAAUGUGUCUUUGAGGAUUUUUAUCAAAAUGGGGUGGUCAAUGCUGCAACUAAUUCUACUUGCUUGACUUUUUUUCUUUGUAUGUCUAUCAUUUGAUUCAUUUCUUUCGAAUGAGUUUCGAUGGUUGAUCAUAUCUUGACUUUCUAAUUCAAAUUUCACGUGUAAAUCUCUAGCAUCUUAAAAUGUUAAAUGGGCUAGCCUUAAAUGGCUUUUCAACGAUUGGCCGCCGACCGAAUCGGGCUUUUAAGAUCGUUGAUUGUCGACGGUCAAUGGUCAAAGUCAACAUCCGCCCUAACUGAACAUUGAUACUAGAUUCGCCCCUGAUUGUAUCCUUCAAAACUUGUAAUAUAAGUGCAUAAUUAGCACCCACUAUUAGAUACGACUUGUAUGAUUUAAAAGCAUAAUUAACAAUAAUCUAACUUCAUUUUCUCUAAACUACCAUCAACAUGCCAAAAUGUGUCCAACCUAAUAAACGCUACUGGUGGUGAUAGCCAUAUAACCACAGAUAAUUCUUAUUGGUUUUGCAGCCUUCACCUUCCAAAUCCAAAAAAAAAAAGGAGUUAAAAAUGCAGCAAUACUUUAAUUGCAGUAAAAGAGUUUGUUUCUCCCAUGCAAUGAAAGACUCCAAUUCCAGGAAGUUCUAACUAAUCAGGAGGGAGAGAGGCUACAUCUUUCUCUUUUUGCCACACACAAUAAAACGUCUUUUCCCAAUAAAUUUGGACAAUUAACCUUCCUCUUGUGCCAUAAUUGAUCAAAUUUGAAACAGAUUAUCAUAAGCAAAUUAAUGUUACAUAUGUUUGCGGUCAUUUAACAUUACAAUUUGAUGCAGUCAUAUGAUGAAUGUAAUUAUCGAAAAAUAACUCUCCUUCUGCAUCAUUCAUGAUAUUCUUUUUGGUCUUCAUCGUAUUUUACCAAAGUAAAAUUUAAUCAAUGCCAUUCACGGGCAAGAUUGUCUUGAUCUUCUAGUGAAGAUAACUGCUAGAAUUGGGUUUCUAGUUGCCCAAAAUCAUUUUGCAGAGGCAAUCCAGAAUUAGCUUAUUUGUUGUCUUAAUCUUUCCGGGGACACAACAACCUUAAGUUAUCUCAAAUGUUAUUUCAUUCAUCGAAUUGUAUAGUUGUUAGUUGCAUAAUGACAAUCCUCAUGUUGUUUAAUCAUUCAAUAGUAAUAUUAUAGAACUCAUGCCGUCUCUCUUAAAUUUUGAAGUAAUAUUUAUAUUCCACAUUAAAUAGAUUAUAUGGAAGUUCAAGGAGACCUCCAAACUACCAUUACAUUUUCAGUUGAUUAAUUCUCACUGCACUAUGGAAAAUCGAGGCUCAACACUUGCAUUUUACGGUACUAGUAGUAUAAAGACAUGCAAAACAGAUCCUAAGCAAUAACAAAGAGCGGUUAAGAGCUCCUCUAGCUGACGAUGCAUAACACAGGUCUUUGGGAACUUAAAGAAGAAUUUGUCGCAGAAUAUAUCUAACUAAGCAUUUUAGCUCUGGAGGCCCACAACUAGAGGAACGAUACAAGUAUCCACCGACAAAUCAUGUAUGGGAUCUUUGCGUACCAAAUGACCAAGUGAAUGGUAAGUCAAGAAAGCCGCACGAAGGGUGCCAUCAGGUAUUCUAUAAAUGGGACACCAUGCCACUGAGUACCUGAAAGUAGACUGUCAAUGCUCAAAACCAAUAUAUGUUCAUAUCAAACUAACUUUACAAGGUUGUAUAACUUUAUUAUUUUGGAUUAGUCUCUACAUUUACUGACCACGAACUUUAGAGAAGAUCCUGUAGACUUACCCGCUCUAGAACAGUGGGAUCUCCAUGUGCUCUGCAUUUCGAACGUCCUUCACCUCGAACAAGCUCCUUUAUCCUGAAACACAGGAAUCGGGAAAAGAAUUAAUUCCAUUCAUUGUUUGUGAAACUAGUUUUCUGUAUGUUGACCGUAGAUCGCUGAAUUUUUUAGAAGUACCGAUCCGUUUAAGCCCCACAGAUCUCUAAAGACUUCAAAAAUGCUCAUAGACUGAUCAUUCUGCCUCAUUUUCCGAGGUACAAAUGCAAACGUAACACGGAUACGUAAGUCAUCUAAUUGAAUAGCUCUGUCAAGGAAAUGCAACUGUGUGCUCAUGCAGUUCUCUACUGGUUAAAUCAGUGAAUGCCAGCCAUAGCAACGUAUUUACACGUGUAGAUUUUGG
rnacentral:lncRNA from 1 species